ensembl:misc_RNA Metazoa_SRP Metazoan signal recognition particle RNA
GCCAGGUGUGGUGGCGCACACCUGUAAUUCCAGCUACUUGGGAGGCUGAGGCAGGAGGAUCACUUGAACCCAGGAGGCGGAGGUUGCAGUGAGCCGAAAUGGCACCACUGCACUCCAGCCUGGGCAACAGAGUGAGACUCUGUCUCAA